AAUUCAAUAAGUGGAGGAAAAGAAACCAACAGGGAUUGCCCUAGUAACGGCGAGUGAAGCGGCAACAGCUCAAAUUUGAAAUCUGGCCCUCGGGUCCGAGUUGUAAUUUGUAGAGGAUGCUUUUGGUGCGGUGCCUUCCGAGUUCCUUGGAACAGGACGCCUUAGAGGGUGAGAGCCCCGUACGGUUGGACACCAAGCCUCUGUAAAGCUCCUUCGACGAGUCGAGUAGUUUGGGAAUGCUGCUCUAAAUGGGAGGUAAAUUUCUUCUAAAGCUAAAUACCGGCCAGAGACCGAUAGCGCACAAGUAGAGUGAUCGAAAGAUGAAAAGUACUUUGAAAAGAGGGUUAAAUAGCACGUGAAAUUGUUGAAAGGGAAGCGUUUAUGACCAGACCUUCGUCGGGCGGAUCAUCCGGUGUUCUUCACCGGUGCACUUCGCCCGGCUUAGGCCAGCAUCGGUUUUCGCAGGGGGAUAAAGGUCCCGGGAACGUAGCUCCCUCCGGGGAGUGUUAUAGCCCGAGACGUAAUACCCUUGCGGGGACCGAGGUUCGCGCUCCGGCAAGGAUGCUGGCGUAAUGGUCAUCAACGACCCGUCUUGAAACACGGACCAAGGAGUCGAACAUUUAUGCGAGUGUUUGGGUGUUAAACCCUCACGCGUAAUGAAAGUGAACGGAGGUGAGAGCCCGUACGGGUGCAUCAUCGACCGAUCCUGAUGUCUUCGGAUGGAUUUGAGUAAGAGCAUAACUGUUCGGACCCGAAAGAUGGUGAACUAUGCGUGGAUAGGGUGAAGCCAGAGGAAACUCUGGUGGAGGCUCGCAGCGGUUCUGACGUGCAAAUCGAUCGUCAAAUCUGCGCAUGGGGGCGAAAG
rnacentral:rRNA from 1 species